rnacentral:lncRNA from 1 species
GUACAAUACAAAAUGUCUGAUUCAUUAUGAGUCAGUCUCUUCCAGUCAGACACCUAGAGGGGAAACAUCCUUGUCAGGUGUUGGCUAUAACAGGGGCUAUAACAGGGGUGAUACAGUUUCUGGUCAGGUGUUGGGCUAUAACAGGGGCUAUAACACGGGUGAUACAGUUUAUCUGGUCAGGUGCUGGGCUAUAACAGGGGCUAUAACAGGGGUGAUACAGUUUCUGGUCAGGUGUUGGGCUAUAACGGGGGUUUUACAGUUUCUGGUCAGGUGCUGGGCUAUAACAGGGGCUAUAACAGGGGUGAUACAGUUUAUCUGGUCAGGUGUUGGGCUAUAACAGGGGUGAUACAGUUUAUCUGGUCAGGUGU